rnacentral:tRNA from 1 species
UGGAUCACCUCCUAACAGGGAGACAACAAAAUGUUUAAUAUUAUUUUGUCACCUUAGGUCGAUCGGUAUCUCACGUUCUUAAUUUGUUAAGAAUUUCAUUUCCUAAGUUUUUCUAGGUCACACCCAUUAUUUUUCCUGGGCCAUUAGCUCAGGUGGUUAGAGCGCACCCCUGAUAAGGGUGAGGUCCCUGGUUCAAGUCCAGGAUGGCCCAUUCGGUGUUGGGGGUUUAGCUCAGUUGGUAGAGCGCCUGCUUUGCAAGCAGGAUGUCAGGAGUUCGAGUCUCCUAACCUCCACUGACCGAACUUGAUUCCCAUCUCCAAUUUUUUGGAGUUGAGCUCGAUUGGCGUGUGAUUUAGAUGUGUCCGCUGGAUGACCCCAGCUUCCUGUCAUUCCAAGUUUUAGGUUGAAGCCUUGAAUUUGGUUGAUAAGAUGCUGGGCUCGGAUCAAAUGAUCAAGCAAUUGAUGGUUUGAUUUGAAGUUCUAGCAGAACCUUGACAACUGCAUAGGUGAGUCUGGAAAAAACAAAGCAUCUUACAGAUGCAUUGUUUUGAAUCCGAUCUUCUGAAAGGGAGAUUGGAUCUAGAACAAUGAAAAUUCUUUUGAGCAAGAGCCGAGACUCUUGAGCGUUCUUUGAUUGGUGUCGAGCCAAUCAGAGUUUGAUCUUGUUUUUAGCGAUAAAAACUUGAAAAUCUGCUUUCAACGGCGGUAAGCGUUCAGGAGGUUAAUUGGUCAAGCUACAAAGGGCUCACGGCGGAUACCUUGGCACACAGAGGCGAUGAAGG